CAGCACAGUCAGGGCAGAGCGAGUUCCAGGUUAGAAAGGCACAGCACAGUCAGGGCAGAGCAAGUUCUAGCAUAGAAAGGCACAGCACAGUCAGGGCAGAGCAAGUUCUAGCAUAGAAAGGCACAGCACAGUCAGGGCAGAGCAAGUUCUAGCAUAGAAAGGCACAGCACAGUCAGGGCAGAGCGAGUUCUAGCAUAGAAAGGCUCUGCCCUGACUGUGCUGUGCAAGUUCUAGGUUAGAAAGGCACAGCACAGUCAGGGCAGAG